CAGCAUUUAUUGUCCAAAUUCCUGUCAGCUCUCUCUAAUCCUCCAGCUAAAAGAGGAUAUUCGGUCUGUUAGUCAUCAGAGACUUUUUUUGUAAAUUUCGUUUCCAAUUUUGGCUGUGUUUUUUUGUUGUUGUCAUGGCGACAGGAUGAGUGGGUUUUUAGGGAGCAUUCUCUGGAAAACAAACCAUUCCCUCUGGUUCAGUAUGGUGGGUUAGUGUGGAAAGGUGGUGUUUUUGAGAUGUACGAACACAGAUGGUGAUGGAUACGAACAGGCUGAUGAAGGCUGUGCAUGUUUGCUCUUGGAAAUCAUCUGUUCCUGAACAUCAUCAUUGCUUGACACAAGAUUCGUCCAACCAUUCCAGUAAUGCAUUGGAAUGCCUUGAGGUUGGAUCCCAGUGGAUUCCGCAACUCAAUCAAGGGUCAAUGGCGACCAGCAACUGUUUGGUUACCAACAUUCUUCAAAAUAUAUUAUUUUAUUUUCAUCAGAAGAAAGAAACUCAUACAAGUUUGGAACUACAUGAGGUUUCACCAAAGUUUCACCAAAUGACUCAUGCUUGGAAUGGAUAUGCAGAAGGAAAAACUGAGGGCCUUCGGGGUACCAGAGGCCUGGAGGAAGACAGGAUGAAGGACACACUAAUUAAGGACCAUGCAAGACUACGGGACAUUUGCUGCUGUGCUGUGCUGCCUCUGCGUUGAUUGUUAUUCAUCUUGAACGCUGCCCGAUGACUUGAAUAUGUGGGCUUAAUAUGUACAUACUAAUGCAGUAUAGGGUGGACAGCAAUCCAACUCUAAUAGAUAUUAUAUAGGUCUAUUUUAACCACUGUAUGUGACUGAAUGGUGUGCGUGUGGUCUGUUGGCACUGAAUGCGUUCCCAGAGGAACAUUUUAUUGCUCAGAGGUUAUUGUUUCAUAGCUUAGGAGUCUUAUAGGAGUUUUAAAGGACUUUAAGUGUCAAUCUUGUCUUGGAUAUAUUUCCUAAAAUUCCUUAAGAUAGCAGAGCUGGAAACAAAUUAGACAAUUUGUGUGGGCAUAUAAAUAGGGUGCAUUUAUAUGAUCAUGAAAUAAAGUAAAAACUGUUUUCUAUUUUAAUAUAUUAUAAAAUGUAAUUUAUUCCUGUGAUGGCAAAGCUGAAUUUUCAGAAGCCAUUACUCCAGUUUACAGUGUCAUAUGACCCUGCAGAAAUCAUUUUAAUAUGCUGAUUUAGUGUUAAAAUAACAUUUCUUGUUGAACGUUUCUUGGUCAGUGUUGAAAACAUUUGUGCUGCUUAAUAUUUUGGUGGAAACCAAAAAAAAAAAAAAAUUCAGGAUACUUAUGAAUAGAAAGUUGAAAAGAAUAGCAUUUAUUUAACAUAUAAAUAUUUUGUUGCAUUGUAAAUGUCUUUAUUGUCACGUUUGAUCAAUUAAAUGCAUUCUUCCUAAUAAAAGUAUUCAUU
ensembl:lncRNA